UUUUAUUUUGGCUGUCCAGAAAUGAGGCAUUUUACUGAAAAUAAUAUACUUUUUCAAAAUAAAAAAAGGAUUUUAUAAAAAUAAAAUGACAUAGUAGACCUUAUUAAUGUCAUAUAAAAUGUAUACCUUAUAAAUCUUGGUUUAAAAUGUUAUGAAUGUGUUAUGUAGACACCUUUCCAGUAAAGUCUUACCAAAUUUUCCAUAUUUACUUCCAAAGAGUGUCAAACCGAAACAAAAGGCCACAGAGACAUGCCAACUGUCUGGACAUACGACUGUGAUGCUCCAUGUGCACUCUACUGACCUAUCCAUGCUCCGCCCACAACUGUGUCUUGCAUAGCUGUUGCGAGGUUGGACAAACUUGAAAGAACGUUGGCAAAAUUCCCACUCGGUCAAAAUGAGAAAUUGAGCAGACUCUGUUUAAUCACUACAUAAUGCAGAGCUUGAUUUAAAAUGAUACCCAACUGGACGGUGCUGCUGUUGCUAAUUGUUGGUAAAGGAGGCGUGUUGAGAGGGAUAUUGAAGUAAACAAGAAGGAAAGUACAUCUGAUCUAUUCUGAAACAACGAACCUGCCACAAGGGAACCAACAAAGAGAGGAUAUAACGUACAUACAGUACUAAGACCUAGUAAUGACAC